AUUGAACGCUAGCGUGAUGCUUUACACAUGCAAGUCGCACGGAGUGGGGGACGGGUGCGGAAUAUAUCGGCACGUGCCCAGUAGCUGGGGAUAAGUACUCGAACGUGUGGCUAAUACCUCAUACUAGCAGAGCGGCCGAGAUCGGCUGAGCUCGUUGGGUGGGUAAAGGCUCAUCAAGUCAACGCACCGUACCGAGUUUGAGAGGACGACCAGCCACACAGGGACUGAGACACGGGCCAGAAUCCGACGGGAGGCAGCAGUGGGGAAUUUUGGACAAUGGGGGGAACCCUGAUCCAGCCAUCCCGCGUGUAUGAUGAAGGCCUUCGGGUUGUAAAGUACUUUUGGCAGAGAAGCGGUAUCUGCAGAAUAAGCACCGGCUAACUACGUGCCAGCAGCCGCGGUAAUAC
rnacentral:rRNA from 1 species